AACCGCACACCCGCACGAUUCCCCGCACGACCUCUCGCCCACGUAACCUCCCGCACACCCGCACACCAGUAUCCAUCGCUAAUCCAUCGAUCCUCCUCACGCGCCGUUCGUCCCGCACCCUCCCGUCCGUCAUCGCACCCUUCGCUGCGGGAGCCGCCCGCCGUGGCGAUAGCCGCGGGAGCUGCCGCCGGAGCCGCCCAUCGCGCCCUCCGUCGCGGGUCACCGCGGGAGCCGCCGCUGGCGCUGCCCGUCGCGCCCUCUGACGCCCGAGCUAUCACCGGAGCCGCACGCCGCGCCUUCCGCCGCAGGUCGCCGCCGGAGCCGCCGCGCCUUAGCCACGGGAGACCCCUUCCCCACGGGGGAGCCGCCGCGUGAGCCGCCCGAGCCGCUCAGCUUGGAGUCCUCAACCGCCGCCGCGCACGCAGGAGCCGCGAUGGAGGGGGAGUACGAUGAGGUUCUGGGGCAGCUCUCCUCUCUCACGCAAAAGGUGCGGACACACAUCGGCAACCCAGGCAACCAGUGGGACCUCAUGGACCGCUACCUCCAGAUUCUCGAGCUGGAGGAGGCCAUCGCGUGGAUGAAGGUCAUCCAUGUCACCGGGACCAAAGGGAAGGUGAAUCACGAGAUAACAUUUGGUGCCAAGGAUUCGAGAAGGUGAACUAAUACCAAGAACCAUGUCGCCGGAUGAUUCAGGAAGAGAUGGUCCUGAUAGUCGAGAUAAACGGUGCAUUGGGUGAACUUGUUACUACAGAGAUUUCCGUAUUCAGUCUAUCCCAUUACUCAUUUGCUUCAUAAGUUCCUACCAUAUUGUUUAUGUCGAUUUAUUCUACUCAUAUUCAUAAUUCAUGCGCCGCUGUCGCCGCCACUUUGAGGCCUUAGCCACCAAGCGGCAUCCUUUCCCGUGAGGCUUAAUUCAGUACAUGCUUCUCUGAAUUUCUAUGAGAUUAAUUCAAUAUAUGUUUCUCUGAAUGUUAUCCUUCCAUGUUGGAAUGUAUCAUUGGAAUGCAAGUUAGGAUGCUCUCUCUCCGUAUGAUAUACUUUAUGUUCUAUCAAAAAUUUGAUCUAUUUUAGGUGAUGUACAUGAAUGGCGGCAGAUGGUUGAGGAUUGAGGGAAUGUAGAUGCGACUAGCGAGCACUUACUCUGAGGUGCUUUCAGAUGAUGGAUUAAUAAGACUGUUUGGACAAAAUUCUGAUUUUUUUAACACUUGUUCCAUGUGCGAAUGUUCUGGGAGCACCAACUCCAACUGCUGACAAGGUGAAGCUUCUUAAGUCACUGCCAAAUCUCACCAUGUUAAGUAAUCGAUUUUACUUAUCAAAGAAAGACCAAAGAAUUGGCCAUGAUGCCAUGUUUUAAUUAAGUUUGUUGCAUGCCACGAGUUAAAGGGAACCUGUUCCUAUAGGAUAAUAGAAUGUAAUGUUAAUAGCCAGGGACUAUUUUGAAUAUUUACAUGUAAAGUAUCCAUCCUUUUUUCUGUAUAUCUUUUGUGUUUUUUCUUCUAACAUCAGCACUUCAGAAAAAGAUGUCGUAAACCGUGUAAUGUGGCAACACCAAGAAGGCCACCAUCAAGGUGAAGGUGCAAACAUGCAGAGCAGGUCUUGACUCCAGACCUAUUUGUCAUUCAUUCACAGAGGCAAUAAAUAUUAUCUUUGUAAUUUGAGAUUUUCAAAUAUGAUGCCUCAGUUUAUAAGUCUGUUGCAUGUAACAUCCUUUUUUACUUAAAAAGUUUGGCUUCGCUUCUCAUUAUGGGUUUGGUGCUUAUAUUAUUCUUACACAAGCCAGUUUCACCUCAAUUUAUCAUACAACUUAGAAUUAAUUAGAGCCCUGUUAUUGAUCCUUACUUAAUGCAACUGAAAGGAAAAAACUUCCUUAGGAUCCAUCCACGUCUUUGCUCUCUUUUCCAACUUUUGGUUUUGUUCUCUUCAACAUUUAUUUUUUCAGCACAAUAUCGAUUUCGCUCACAACUUAGCAAUAAUUGCAUGAGACUAAAAAUUGGGGUCAUAGCAAUGGUUAAUAAUGUCAUUUUUCUGUCAUGUUGGUUCCAUGUGUUUGUUACAUUUGUUUAAUUAGAAUUCUGCAUGCCCUUUUGCUUUGUUGUGAAAAUCUAAGCUCUGCUGAAGUUUCUGCUCCUCUUGAAUGUAUCAUGUUGCCUCCACUCUCCAGUGAGGUGCAUAUGUAUAUAGUACUGAGUUUUGACAACUAAUAGCUUUUCAGAAUUAAUCAUAUGGUUGUUGCUAGGAACUCUGAGCUUUGAGUUUUGAGAGGUAUUUAUUGUUAAAAUAUGAAAUAUGGUAAAAUGCAAGCUCUAAUGAUGAAGCUCGACACAGAGAAAGCUUUUGACACUGUCCUGAGAGUUCCUGGUGAUGGUGCUCAAGCAGGGGGGGUAUUGGUAUUGGUUGGAGGAAAAGGAUAUAUGCACUACUCAUGUUCUCUUCAACCAAGAUACUGACAGUUGGAGUAUGCUCCCAUUUCUUAAUUUUCUAUAAUCUGGAAGGUCAAUUCAUAUGAGCGCCUUCCUCCGUCGUCGAUCCGCGGCCCCUUCACACGCAUGGUGCGCUCGACGCGCCGCCUCGACACGCUGCACUGGACCUCAACAAUUAAAUGUACACCCAGAGAUGCAAGGCACCUACAGAGUGUGAAUGAUACAAGUUCUAAGCUAUCCAAGGUGUUGGUUUUUUUCUGGACAUGGUUCAGUACGAAGAAUGUACUGACAUAUAUUUGCAAAAGCUUACAUCGCUGACUGAUAUCUGUAAAAAUAGAUAUGCAAUGUAUAGGAACAUUGAUAUUAGUUUUAGAUAUGGAGCACGAAGAUUCUGAACCAUGCAAUUUUGUCACAUUAUGCCAGUAGAAGGAAGAUAGUUAAGCACAUCAACACAUAUCUUGGGGAAUAUCGUUAUGCCAUGUCCAAUGAUAUACCAUGUAUAUACAUGUAAAAGGUUAAAAGUGAACAAUAUCUAGCAAAAGAAAUCAUGCACAGGAGCUACAUAGAUUUUGCCCAAAUAGGUAUUUAAGAACGGAGUUGGAACACUAGAGAGAGCAGGCCCUGGACAUUGUUCUUUACAGUUGAUUUUCUUCAUCAAAUUUGGUAACCUGGAGAUGCAGAAGGAGUAGGCACAAGGAGGCGGACGGGAGUAGUUUAAUUUACUAUGUGUUAGUUGUUAAAUAUAUGUCCAAAUGUUGAUGCUAUGAAUUUUGCUACAAAAGGUUGCAUUUUCAUUUGAACUAUCAAUUUUGUUUUUAGUUCAUGUCAUGGGCACGACGACGGAUGGAUGUAAAUCCAUUGGAAAAUCAGACAACAUUUAGAUAUGAAGCAUAUCCAUCUUAUUACAACUUGACAUGUAAAACCUGUGUACAAGAAAAAUCUUUGGAAACUCAGGCUGGCAGUUAGCUAUGAAGCAUAUCCAUCUUAUUACAACAUGAUUAUGAUGUACUCCUACUGUACUUGUCUAACACAAGCACAAAAUCAAACUCACAACACAAGAACCUGAGUCAAACUCUUGUAAAUCAAUAUCAGAAAAGAAAGAGGAAAUAGCUGGUUCGAACGAGCAGGCCCAGCAGACAACGACACUUGCAGGAGUAUAGGUACCGAAGUUCAAUAGCGGUAGGUACCAAGGAGAAGACGAGUCAGGGCCGAUUGACAAGACUAGCUAUGCUGACCUUCCAGCCAUACUCCAUCCAAUAUCGAACGGAAGUGCUAAAGGUUUCAUGUGAUGCUAACCUCAAUGAACCAGACCUCGAGAAUUCGUUCAUCCCUUCGCUCCGAGGAUUGGUCGAGUACUUGGCCACAUGCAUGAGUAGGCAUGUUGCCGGGAUGUCCCAUUAAAAAGGCAGGUCCCAUAUUUGAAAUACAAAAAUAAGAUCAGAUAGCGCUCAAGAGGUUUUUCUCCAUACGAGAAAUCCUUCACUCCCAGGGAAUUCAAAUACAUGUGUUGAAGAUCAUCAAAGAAAGGAAAAAGAAUGAAUUCGAUCCAUCUCCUCCCUUUUCUUUAAACCAAGAGCUACUCCUCCCUUUUAUUUUUUAAUAUAAUUUCAAUAUGAUUUCGUUUG